rnacentral:rRNA from 1 species
CCCUUAGAUGUCCUGGGCCGCACGCGCGCUACACUGACAUGUUCAACAAGCCUCCUAGUUCGACAGGAUUUGGGAAAUCUUUGAACGCAUGUCGUGAUAGGGAUAGAUCAUUGCAAUUAUUGAUCUUGAACGAGGAAUUCCUAGUAAACGCGAGUCAUCAGCUCGCAUUGAUUACGUCCCUGCCCUUUGUACACACUGCCCGUCGCACCUACCGAUUGAAUGUUUCGGUGAAGAUUCCGGAUAGGACUUUUUUGAUUUAUUUCAAUUCUGUCUUAAAAGCUAUCUAAACCUCAACAUUUAGAGGAAGGUGAAGUCGUAACA